AGGAGCAUGGGCACCUUAAGAGUAAAUACCCCCACCCAUCAGUUACUAUUAACUGCCAAUAGCUCUUCAGGGAGGGUGCAGUUUCAUGCACCCCUCCCCCCCACCACCAACGGUUAACCUAACCGCAGCCUCCAAUUCCUCAGGGGAGGCUGGCUAGACGAGAGGCAGCCCAAUUUGCCUCACCUGACUCUGCAGGUCACAGGACCAAGAAUGGAUCGGAAGAGAGAGGGAGGCGGUGGCGCUGCCAGGGACCCUGGAGUGGGCUGAGAGCCACGGCAUCUACUUAGAGAAAGAAGCAGACAAUGACCUGCAAAACGAGGAGAAAUGAUGGUUGUUGUCACAGGAGGGCAGAGUUCAAAUGAAAAAGCCACUCCUGGGGAUGUUCAGCUAGAAUCUGAAUAAGCAUAAGAAGCCAGCUCCUGAAGUAAACACCCAAGCUGUACACGCCAGGGUGACCCCGAAGCUUGCUUUCCCUCAUGGCUGUAUAGCUUGUGGGAAAGAUGAACAGAGCACCACACUACACCCCACCUCAAAGGGGCUCAAAACCUGUGCUUUUACAUAGGGCUCUUUGUUUCUCUUUUUAUGAGUCUGUCUCUGAAAUGCUGGAUCCACUUGUUCAACUACUUGAACAUAAACUUUUUCUAAAAUGUCUCUAGUUGACAGGAGCAAGCAUUUUGAAAGCUGAGCCAACUGCCAUUAAAUUCAGCACACAACUUUUAUAAUGUUCUGUUUUAGCCCAUGUUCAUGGAACAUUUUAAAACCACAUGGUUUUCCAUGGACCACCUGCUUCCAGGACCGGGUGCAGCUGUCCUGCUCUGUGUUCUCCUCCGGGUUCCAUGGCCAUCAGCUCACAGGGAAGGUGGGGACUUCAAGAGUUGUCACAGACUUCAAUGACACUUAGGACAUCCUUAAUUUCUCUGGGGCCUCAGUUUUGUCUUCUGUCAAAUGGACUGAAAUUCUACCCCGUCGUUGUCGUCGUAGAUGAAUGGGAUCUUCCAUUUCUGCGGGCUCAGCCCUGGGCGCUACUUCGAUAGCAGUGCCCAGCCACAGCCAUUCCAGGUGGCAGGCGGUAUCAGAAGAGAUUCAGGACGGGUAGAGAGGAAGAGAUGAAGCCUCAGCAGGGAGAGUCCCAAAGAGGCAGACUCAGAGAAGGCCAAGUGGUCCCCAGGGUUCUCCUGCCAGAGCUGGUCUUCAGAGGAAUGGGGGGCGGGGUUCCUGGAGGAGGAUCUCCAAUGUAAGACAGAGGUGUAAAUCUACAUCUUUUUCUCUGGGUGUGUGUGUGUGUGGGGGGGACACCAGGCUGGUGUAAGAGACUGCUGGGGGUCACUUUUCUCCACGGCGCUCUGGGCCUGGGGUCCUAGAAGGCUGUGGAAAGUUGAGGUGCAGACUUUGUUGCAGUUUGCAGCAGAGAGGAGGUAGCUGAAGUGCAAGUAGCUUCAGGGGUAGAGAGCCUCGCACGGGAGAGGAAAGAGGCGCGGGCAUGAGGCUUCCCACAUACUAGAUGUCCUGGAGUCCUUUGGAUGUAACCCUUGAAAGUGGGCGGGGACUUUGCACUGGUCGGCCACCGCACCCUCCCUCACCCCAAGUCACCAGCUCUGUGCAAAUGUGGCCACUCACGUAUGGUCCUCGCUGAGACCAAAGGUCCUGCUUAUUUCUGUGUAGCGUGUCAGCUGAGGCACGCACAGCCUCUGGGGGCCAGCCAUGGGUGGGUGCUGACAAGUCUAUUUUCAUAAAGGUCCACAAGGUGAAGAUUAGCUUGUGGCCAAGCCAGGGCAAAGCCCCUCUGAGGUGUGAGGGAGUGAGUGCCCUCCAGUUUUGCUUCGGGGUCAGGGUGCAUUAUCCCGGCACAGGCAACAUUGCCUAUCUCAGGCAGAACAAGCUGGGGUUCUUCUCCUAGGGCUUAUCAUAAAAGGCACAAGAAAUACCCAAGAUAAGAGCAAACACAAAGCUUCCCGGGAGGAAGCUCUGUGGCGCACAGUGAACUGAGUCACCAGAAUUCUCUGUCCCAGGUGGGAGAAACGGAGUGGACCAAGGUCCACUGGCUGCCUGUGUUUGCUGUGGUUUGGGUGUGAAAUGUCCCUCGGAGGCUCAUGUAUUUGAACACUUGGUCCCACUGGUGGCCCUGUUUGGGAAUGUCUUGGAACAUUUAGCAGGGAGAGCCUUUCUGGAGGACAUGAGUCAGUGGGGAUGGGCAAAGCCCCACUUCCUGUCCAUCCCCGUUUCCAUGGUUCCUCCCCGGAUGCCACCAUGCUACCCCACUACGAUGGCCUCUAGUCCCUCACUAAAACCUCUCUUCCCUUAACUCCCUUGUCAGGCAUUUUAUCAAAGCAACAAGAAAAAGAACUAACAUGGUACCCAACGUACAAAUGGGGGCUUCAGACCCAAGCGGAAGAACAGAGCUUUUGAGUUUACUUGGAGAUGGCUACUGAGGAAAGUAACUUCAGAGGCAGCCUCUUGAUUUCUACCUCCUGGGGCAGGGGUUCAGGGAGAACCCCAGGAGUGACAGUGAGGGAUUCUAAGCACCUUUAUAUUUACUUUAACCAUCCAAGCAAGCCUUGCCAGCCUGGGCCUUUUUAUCUCUUCCAUAUUUAACGUGGAGGGACAGAGGCUAGCCAGGCGAGCCAAGGGACAAGGUGCCAAGGCCACCAGCCAGGCAGUGGGAGAGCCGGGCUCGAGCUCAGGAACGUGGCACUUCCUGCCACUGUACUAUGCUGCUUCCUGGAAUACCAAGCAAGUCUUAGGUGACCCCUGUGAAAGGGUCAUUCAAUCCCAAAGGGGUCGCAACCCACAGGUUGAGAACUGCUGGACAAACGGAUGAGCCAUUAGAGUGGUCUUACACUCCAAGUUCUGCUAACGCUGGAAUCCUGGAACUCAGUAGAGGACCAGAGGGCAUGGACUUCAGGCUUUUUGGGCCACCCACUCCUUCUAGUAGUGACUCCACCUUGCCUCAAAGCACUGAAGCAGCCUCAGUCAAAAUGCUUAUGCACUUCUGAAGAUGUAAUGCGUACUUGGGAAUCUUAUUAAAAUGCAGAUUGACUCAGUAAAAAGCAGGGUGAACUCUGAAGUCUUCACCACGUCUACCAGACUAGCCUUGAAAUCCUUACCUCAUCCACACAGCCUUACACUUCAGGUUAAAGGAAAACAGACAACUGGCAGUGUUUCCAGAAUGACUUGAAGCUUCGGCACCUUCCUGACAAGCCUCAGGAGGCUCUUUCAUGACUCUCCUAUGCACAAGCCCCUCACAACCUUCAGAUGUAUUUGGACUUCUUUUGGUUUACACUCUUGUGUGGUUCUGAACAGCCACGAACAUAAAAAAAAAAUUCAGAAACAGCA